rnacentral:lncRNA from 10 species
AGAGGGGCGGCGCCCGGCGGGUCAGCACAGAGGCUUGCCUCACCUGCGGUUGCUGAAUGAGUGAGUUAGUGGGUGUGCCCCUUUCAUGACACGUCACAGCAGAGCCCCACGAUGGCCUCUAAGUGUAAGUGGAGGGAAGAGUUGCUGGUCUCUCGCUUUAAAUCACAAGCUGGACAUGGCUAAGCUGAGUGAGGCAGGCAGGUGAAGGCCAAGGUCGAUAGCUAGGCCUCUUGCACCAGUGAGCCAAGUUAUGAAUACCCAGGAAAUGUCCUUGAAGGAAGUUAAAAUGCUACUCCAGUGGACACACAGUUGCCAACAAGUGAAACUGCCUCCUUGCUGAUGUGGAGAAAGUUCGAGUGGUCCGGACAGAAGAUCAAACCAGCCAUGACCCUCCCUUAAGCCAGAGCCUCGACCAGAGCAAGGCCCUAACUCUCUCCAACUCCACAAAGGUGGAGAGGGUGAGGAAGCUGCAGAAGAAAAGUCUGAAGUCCACAGAGGUUGGUUCAUGAGGUUUAAGGAAAGAAGCCGUCUCCGUAAGGUAAAGAUGUGGCUUCUUCGCAGGCUGCCAGGGUGAGGCCGCAUCAGGAGGCUACGUCUGCGGAGCCAUCCCAGGAGCAAUGGGCAGCGUCUGUGGGUCUAGUGGCGAGGUCUCUAGUUCUGAGUCUCCAGGGAGAGGUGCGCAGGGAGCCCAGGGCCCCCCUUCCCCCACGGCACACAAACGUCUAUCUCCCCGCAGCCUGCACCGAUCCCUCGUGAACCACGGGACCGCGUGCGGUUAUUCUCAGCUCAGAGAUAGGCCCUAGACUGGAGCCCAGCUGCACACACCUCAAAACGAACGUCCGAGACUCCAGGGCUGCAGUCACUCUUGGACGAAUUCUAAGGUCAUCCCAGUCCUCUCAGGGGAGAGGGCACAGGCUGCAGGACCCGGUGACCAGCGUGAGUCCAGAAGGGUAGGGCCAAGGGGUCAGAGCCACCACCCCAGCCACCUCAGAACCAGAGCAGCCCUGGGCGUCCCGCUGUGGGCCUCGAGACCCCAGCAUGAUUCCGGGUAAAGAAUUUCCACUGUCAAGAAGUGUAAACAUGAUUAUCUGAGGUGCAAUGGCCAUAUUUUCAAACCAAACUUCAGAAGGGGCGUGGCAGUACUGAAUUCUGCCUGGGUGUGGUUUUUCCAGGCAGCAGCCCCCAACGGGUUUUCUUUUCUUUUCUUUUUGACAUAGGGUCUCACUCUGUUGCCCAGGCUGGGCAGCCUCAACCUUCCAGGCUCCAGAGAUCCUCCCACCUCGGUCUCCCUAGUAGCUGGGACUACAGGCAUGCGCCACCAUGCCCAGCUAAUUUCUAAACUUAUUUUUGUAGAGAUGAGGUUUCUCUCAGUUGACCAAGCUGGUCUUGAACUCCUGGCCUCAAGUGAUCCUCCUGCCUCGGCCUCCCAAAGAUCUGGGAUGGCAAGCUUGAGCUGUGGCCAGCCUUGACCAGGUUUCCCAUGGGCCUGGGGUGUGCUUGUCUCCAGCAGCUCUGAAGCGCCUCUCUUCCAACUCCACUCCAGUUCCAGCAGCACAGAGACCCAGAUGGGCAUCCAUCCACGCUGGGGUCAGGCCCAUGCGCCAAGCUCCUCUGAGUAGCCUGAGUCCUCAGCCAUGGUGACCCCACGUGGAAAAGUCUUGAAACUGACGUCUCAAAGAGGAUGAUGUGUGAGCGACCGUGACAGCAGCACAAAUCCCAGGUGGACAGGACACUCCGGCUGCCCCGAGUGGCCGAGGACGGGUCGGCAUCUCCUGGCAUUUUUGUCCGUUUUGGUGGCAGGUGAGCCCAGCACGUAGGGAGGGAUGGGCAGCCCACAGCCGGGACUGGACGACUCAGAAGUUCCGGCUAAGGUAGGAUAACUUGGGCAGGCUUCCCGAGUCCCUCCCAGCUGCGGUCCCCUGGCCCCCACUUGCUCAGUGGCCAGGUGUGGGAGGAGCCAGCGGCCCUGUGCCAAGGGAGCACGAGUUGGGGCGUGUGGGGAUGGGAGGCCGGGUCGAAGGCCGCCUUUCAGUGCAGGGAAGGACCUGAUACCACAGUCCAGCAGCAGAGGGAAAGCCAGGCCAGGGGUUUGAGGCCAGAGAUCUCAGAACCUUGGGAGCCAGCUGCUAGUCUGCAUUUCAGGGUGCCAGGAGUCCCUGGAGACGGGGAUGGAGCCCUGUGGGUGGAGACAGCAGGACUUCAGGUCACCAAUGAGGCCAGGGUGCUGGUGCUCAGGGUCCCAGCUGUGGGGGUCUCAGUUCUCCCAGCCCUGCUCCCAGGCUGACCCUCCAGGCCAGCCCCUCUCUGUAGGUCUGAGGAGGGUCCUUAUGGAGCACAGGUGGGGCUGGGGAAAUGGCACAUGUCUCCGCAAAGCUCCUGUGCCUCCUUUGCUCCGGAGAGCCUGCUCCUUCACAGAGGGCGUCUGAUACA